rnacentral:rRNA from 1 species
AGUCGAGCGGUAGCACAGAGAGCUUGCUCUCGGGUGACGAGCGGCGGACGGGUGAGUAAUGUCUGGGAAACUGCCUGAUGGAGGGGGAUAACUACUGGAAACGGUAGCUAAUACCGCAUAACGUCGCAAGACCAAAGUGGGGGACCUUCGGGCCUCAUGCCAUCAGAUGUGCCCAGAUGGGAUUAGCUGGUAGGUGGGGUAACGGCUCACCUAGGCGACGAUCCCUAGCUGGUCUGAGAGGAUGACCAGCCACACUGGAACUGAGACACGGUCCAGACUCCUACGGGAGGCAGCAGUGGGGAAUAUUGCACAAUGGGCGCAAGCCUGAUGCAGCCAUGCCGCGUGUGUGAAGAAGGCCUUCGGGUUGUAAAGCACUUUCAGCGGGGAGGAAGGCGGUGAGGUUAAUAACCUCAUCGAUUGACGUUACCCGCAGAAGAAGCACCGGCUAACUCCGUGCCAGCAGCCGCGGUAAUACGGAGGGUGCAAGCGUUAAUCGGAAUUACUGGGCGUAAAGCGCACGCAGGCGGUCUGUCAAGUCGGAUGUGAAAUCCCCGGGCUCAACCUGGGAACUGCAUUCGAAACUGGCAGGCUAGAGUCUUGUAGAGGGGGGUAGAAUUCCAGGUGUAGCGGUGAAAUGCGUAGAGAUCUGGAGGAAUACCGGUGGCGAAGGCGGCCCCCUGGACAAAGACUGACGCUCAGGUGCGAAAGCGUGGGGAGCAAACAGGAUUAGAUACCCUGGUAGUCCACGCUGUAAACGAUGUCGAUUUGGAGGUUGUGCCCUUGAGGCGUGGCUUCCGGAGCUAACGCGUUAAAUCGACCGCCUGGGGAGUACGGCCGCAAGGUUAAAACUCAAAUGAAUUGACGGGGGCCCGCACAAGCGGUGGAGCAUGUGGUUUAAUUCGAUGCAACGCGAAGAACCUUACCUGGUCUUGACAUCCACAGAACUUUCCAGAGAUGGAUUGGUGCCUUCGGGAACUGUGAGACAGGUGCUGCAUGGCUGUCGUCAGCUCGUGUUGUGAAAUGUUGGGUUAAGUCCCGCAACGAGCGCAACCCUUAUCCUUUGUUGCCAGCGGUUAGGCCGGGAACUCAAAGGAGACUGCCAGUGAUAAACUGGAGGAAGGUGGGGAUGACGUCAAGUCAUCAUGGCCCUUACGACCAGGGCUACACACGUGCUACAAUGGCAUAUACAAAGAGAAGCGACCUCGCGAGAGCAAGCGGACCUCAUAAAGUAUGUCGUAGUCCGGAUUGGAGUCUGCAACUCGACUCCAUGAAGUCGGAAUCGCUAGUAAUCGUAGAUCAGAAUGCUACGGUGAAUACGUUCCCGGGCCUUGUACACACCGCCCGUCACACCAUGGGAGUGGGUUGCAAAAGAAGUAGGUAGCUUAAC